rnacentral:rRNA from 1 species
UGCUUAACACAUGCAAGUCGAACGGCAGCAUAGUCUAGCUUGCUAGACUGAUGGCGAGUGGCGAACGGGUGAGUAACGCGUAGGAAUAUGCCUUAAAGAGGGGGACAACUUGGGGAAACUCAAGCUAAUACCGCAUACGCUCUUAGGAGGAAAGCUGGGGACCUUCGGGCCUGGCGCUUUAAGAUUAGCCUGCGUCCGAUUAGCUAGUUGGUGGGGUAAGGGCCUACCAAGGCGACGAUCGGUAGCUGGUCUGAGAGGAUGACCAGCCACACUGGAACUGAGACACGGUCCAGACUCCUACGGGAGGCAGCAGUGGGGAAUAUUGGACAAUGGGGGGAACCCUGAUCCAGCAAUGCCGCGUGUGUGAAGAAGGCCUGAGGGUUGUAAAGCACUUUCAGUGGGGAGGAGGUUUGACGGGUUAAGAGCUAGUUGAAUGGACGUUACCCACAGAAGAAGCACCGGCUAACUCCGUGCCAGCAGCCGCGGUAAUACGGAGGGUGCAAGCGUUAAUCGGAAUUACUGGG